AUCUGUUUUUAAAUAAAAUAAAAUAAAAAAAAUCUGUUCUUAUCAGUUUAACAUCUGAUACGUCCCCUAUCCGGGGACCAUAUAUUAAUAGAUUUUUGGGCCUGGGAGAUGGAAGCGGGGCUUACUCCGUCCACUCCACGUAUCGACUUGGUAUUGCAGUUUCUCCAGGCACGGUGCGCUCCCC